CUGUCCUACGGGGCGCAGCAGUGGGGGAUAUUGGACAAUGGGGGAAACCCUGAUCCAGCGACGCCGCGUGAGUGAAGAAGUAUUUCGGUAUGUAAAGCUCUAUCAGCAGGGAAGAAAGAAAUGACGGUACCUGACUAAGAAGCCCCGGCUAACUACGUGCCAGCAGCCGCGGUAAUACGUAGGGGGCAAGCGUUAUCCGGAUUUACUGGGUGUAAAGGGAGCGUAGACGGUGUGGCAAGUCUGAAGCGAA
rnacentral:rRNA from 1 species